GACGAACGCUGGCGGCGUGCUUAACACAUGCAAGUCGAACGGAAAGGCCCUGCUCUUGUGGGGUGCUCGAGUGGCGAACGGGUGAGUAACACGUGAGUAACCUGCCCUUGACUUUGGGAUAACUUCAGGAAACUGGGGCUAAUACCGGAUAGGAGCUCCUGCUGCAUGGUGGGGGUUGGAAAGUUUCGGCGGUUGGGGAUGGACUCGCGGCUUAUCAGCUUGUUGGUGGGGUAGUGGCUUACCAAGGCUUUGACGGGUAGCCGGCCUGAGAGGGUGACCGGCGACAUUGGGACUGAGAUACGGCCCAGACUCCUACGGGAGGCAGCAGUGGGGAAUAUUGCACAAUGGGCGGAAGCCUGAUGCAGCAACGCCGCGUGCGGGAUGACGGCCUUCGGGUUGUAAACCGCUUUCGCCUGUGACGAAGCGUGAGUGACGGUAAUGGGUAAAGAAGCACCGGCUAACUACGUG
rnacentral:rRNA from 1 species